GCCUCUGUAGCUCAGUUGGUAGAGCAGCGGACUGAAAAUCCGCGUGUCGCUGGUUCGAUUCCGGCCGGAGGCA
rnacentral:tRNA from 1 species